rnacentral:tRNA from 1 species
AGUUAAUUAUGCUAAAAAAGCAAUAUACUUUGAAAGUAUAGGAUAAUCAUUUUAUUAACUU